rnacentral:lncRNA from 1 species
GGCCUGUUGUCCCCAGACGCCCAGAGACAGGCACACACAGGAUGAACUGCGUCCACCUGCUGAGGGUGAGGGGCUCCUGAUGCGCUAUCCUGGGCACCUGGAGGCAGACUGGGGUCAGGGACCAGAGAGCUCCAUAUGCUCAGCCUCCCAGAUCGCUCAGGGACCACCAAGAGGCCCACUUUCCUACAGGGAACAAGACACCUUGUGACUGCUCCAUUUCACCCCCAUCUCCACUCCUUCUGGCCAGAGAAGCCGCGUCAAGAAUAAUACCAGCCAAAUGGGAGAGUGCUUGGUUUGGGCCAAAGCAGCCUCUGUGCUCACGGAGAUGUCUCAGGUGGAGGGAUGGUGGAUCCCACAAUUCUGAGCUGUCAAUACAGGAAGGGGCCUCGUGUUUCCGGAUCACCAAGAAAGAAUGAGAGAACUCUGGGGACUUGGUUCUGGAGAACCCCAGAGGGACCCCUCCCAUGAACAGUCAGGGCAAAGAAAGGGCGAGGCCUCUAGGGGACCAGGCAGAGAAAGGGCCACGUGGGGAAAAGCCCCAGACCUGGCGAACAGGAGGAAUGAUCGUUACCUUCUGGCCAGCCCUCUGGACCUCCGUCAUUUUCCACAACUGCCCAAGGAUAGAGGGCUCCCCACCCCACUCCCAGACGAGGGACCCCGUAUGUCCAGUGGGUUCCACAGCGACCCCCACUGACUGCACCCGAAGUCUGGGUUGAUGAGAUCUCCCCCUGUGGGGACCCACCUUAGAGCACAGACUUGGACGGAGGACCACCCUCCACCCCACCCACAGGGGCUACAUCCUGGGGGCUCUUCUAGGGCAAGGCUCAGCUCCACUGGGGUCAGAAGCCCCAGGCAGAUGUGCAAUCCAGAACACGGAGGUCACAGAGGUCAAGGCUUGAGUUCAGCAUGGCACAGGCCAGGGCUGACAGCAUGCCCCAGGGCCACGUCUGGGUCUCUGGGCCAGUUACUGCCCCUCUGACCUGAGGCGUCUCACCUAUUCAGUGGGUACAUUUGAGGAUAGCACCCCUCCACCCCGCCGUGGAGUCGCCGUGAGGAUGAAGGAGACGACUGUUUGCAUGGUCAGCAUAGAACGGGCACCUGGUGAGUGCUCAUGGAUGACCCUCCUCGGGUAGCUGCCACCCACCUGGUUGUGACUGUCCCCAGGUCAGCAGGGGGGAAGAGAGCAGGUCACGCUUUCCUGAGUCUGAUCAGGCAGCGGUGCUGAGAUGUGCUUCUCACCCAGAAAAGGGUCCUAUCUGCACAACCACUUACAGCACCUCUGUGUCUCCAACUGCUCCAUGACACAGAGGUAGGCUGGCGGCACUUGGCACAACGACAGCAUGGGUUCACAGCUCCUAUCACGACGGGGCCCUACCUGGCUCAGCAGGGCCCAGGGUCAGCAUCCUCUGCCCGCUUAAUGGUCAACAUGUAUGCGUGCAAUUUGUCUGUGUAUGUGAGGAUGCAUGUGUGUGGGUGAACACGUCUCUCCUCCAGCUGGGCCUGGCUGCUCCACUCAGGUGUGCACCUGGAUCCCUGUCACUGUCACCCCCGGGCCUGUGGCCAGCAUCAGAGCACCCAUAGGUGCUCCCCAGCCUCUGCUCUUUCCAUGCUGGGUGGUCCUGGGGAUGCAGAUGGGGCAGGGACAUAGGGCAGAGGGCAGAGGGCAGAAGCCAGGCUUCCCCCUUGGGGUGACUCGCGUAGUGUGUAAAGUGCCAGGUCUGUGUGGCAGGGCUGGAUUCAAUGCAAUGCACCCUCUCACCUCCUCCUCCCAGAAGCCCACUGGGGUGCUGUGACUCACCCCCCCACCCCAUGGAUGGAGGCAAUCACGGAGGCUUCGAGGACAAACCCGUGGCCUGAGAUCACCAAGGAUCCCACUGGCCAGGCCUCCAGUGGUUAAGCCCCCACUGAACAGGUCCUAGCUGACCACCCCCACAAUGACCAGGUCCCACUGACCAGAUGUGGACUGACCAGGUCCUGCUGACUGGGCCCCACAGACCAGGCCCUGGCUCACCAGACACCACUGACAAAGGCCACAAUAACAAGGCUGCAACUGACAAGGCCCUCACGGCCCUCACUGACUAGGCCUCAACUGAUGGACCCCACCAAAUAGAUCUCACUAAUCAGACCCCCGCUGACCAGGCCCUAACAACUGCUGGACCCCUGCUGGCCAGGCCCCAAAUGCCGAACCCCACUCACCAGGCCCCAAAUGCUGAACCCCACUGAUCAGGCCCCAAAAGCUGAACCCCACUCACUGGGCCCCAAAUGCUGGAUCCCUGCUGACAGGCCCCAACUAUGGGAUCCCCACCAACCAGGCCCCAACUGCCAGACCCCUGCCAACCAGGCCCUGGAUGCUGGACUCCACUGACCAUGUCCCAACUACUGGACCCCCACUGACCAGGCCCUAACAACUGCUGGACUGCACUGAUCAAGCCCAAACUGCCAGACCCCACUGACUGGGCCCCAACUCCUAGACCCCUCCUGACUGAGCCCCAACUGCCAGACUCUUGCCAACCAGGCGUCUUCUUAUGAGACCCCUGCUGACCAGACCCCCACUGCUGGAUCCCCGCUGUCUAGGCCCCAACUGCUGGGCCCCCGCUUACCAGGCCCCCACAUCCACACCUCACUGACUAGGCCUCACUGCUCUGAUCCCCGCCGAUCAGGCCCCAAAUGCCGGGCCCAGAUGACCAGGCCUCAACUGCUGGACGCCCACCAACCAGGCCUCAGCUUCUGGACCCCUGUUGACCAGGCCCCAACUGCCAGACCCCAAUGACCAGUCCCCAACU